rnacentral:lncRNA from 10 species
CAAAGCCACACAUUACUGACUCUCUCCUUUAUAUCUCAACAUCCUUCACUCUGACUUUAAAACUCAUAUAAUCCACAACCAUUUCCACAAGGAGAACUGUUUAUUUUUACCCCCACGCUCCCACCCUGCCCAAAUCUACUCUUUCCACAGUUUUCUACAUACUAUUACAUGGUAUAUUAAUUUGCUAGAGAUGCCAUAAAACAUUACCACAGACUGCAUGGCUUAAACAAUGGAAAUUUAUUUUUUCACAGUUCCAGAUGCCAGAAGUUAAGAUCUAGGUGCCAUCAGUGUUGGUUUCAGGGCUGUCUUCCAGGAAUGUAGUUGGCUGCCCUCUUGCUGUAUCCUCAUAUAGCUUUUCCUUAGUCUGUGAAUAGAAAGAAAGAGAUGUCUGGUGUCCCUUCUUCUUAUAAGGACACCAGUGCUACUAAACUAGAAUCCUAUCCUAUGACCCCAUAUAUCCUUAAUUUUACCUUUCUGGAGGCCUUGUAUCCAAAUAUAGUCACACUGGGAUAUAGGCUUCAAUAUAUGAAUUUUGGGAGAACACACACAGUCCAUAACAACAUGGAAUAGCUUUUCAAUCAGUUAUUCCGGUCAAAAUACUAGGAGUUAUAUUUUGAAGGUAGAUAGUUUGAAUGUGAGAUGUUUGGGAAAAGAGGAGUCAAGGAUAACUCCUAGUACACCACUGACUUCUCAUCACCUCCAUUGCUAUGACCAAAGACCAAGCCACCUGCCCUCUCCUGGACUACUACAAAAGCCUCCUAACUGGUCUUCCUGCCAAAGUGGUCAUUUAACCCUCUAAAUCAGAUAACUCCUCUUUUUAAAACCAUCAGUGACUUCCCAUAUCCCUUAGAAUUCAAUCCAAACUCUUCCUAGUGUUGGGAAGGUAUUGACUAAUCUCCAAGUAACCUCCCCCUUGCUCAAUGGUUUCCCCAGCCAUCCUGCUUCUCUUGCUAGUCCUCCAACACUCAAAAUCCUUCCCAUGCCAAGGGAUUUGCCCUGACUCUUCUCUCUGGCUAGAAUGCUGAAUUUCCUAGAACUGCUCACAGCUCACCCUUCACAACAGUCAGACCUCUACUAAGGUUUCAUCAACUAGGAGGCCUUCCCUGACCACACCAACUGAAAUAGCCCCCAGCAUUCAAACUAUCUCAACCACACAGCUCACUGUCUGCAGCUACAGGGCAUCACUCUUCCAGAAAACCCUGGCUCAGGAAGAUAAAGUUGCAGAUCACGUGAUUGUUUCAGGAACUUCCCAAUGUCCAUUUAUCCAAACAACACUAGCUUUCAUUCAAGUAAACUCCUUUUCUCAGAUCAACAGAUUGCUCAUCUGGGUUCAUCAAACAUGGUUUAUUUCAUGCACAUCCGUGUGAAGAGACCACCAAACAGGAUUUGUGUGAGCAAUAAAGCUGUUUAUUUCACCUGGGUGCAGGUGAGCUGAGUCCGAAAAGAGAGUCAGCGAAGGGAGAUACGGGUGGGGCCCUUUUAUAGGAUUUGGGAAGGUAAAGGAAAAUUACAGUCAAAGGGGGUUGUUCUCUGGUGGGCAGGGGCGGGGGUCACAAGGUGCUCAGUGGGAGAGCUUCUGAGCCAGGGGAAGGAAAUUCACAGGGUUAAUCACUCAGUUAAGGUGGGGCAGGAACAAAUCACAAUGGUGGAAUGUCAUCAGUUAAGGCCGGGCAGGGCCUUUUCACUUCUUUUGUGAUUCUUCAGUUACUUCAGGCCAUCUGGGCGUAUACGUGCAAGUCACAGGGGAUGCGAUGGCUUGGCUUGGGCUCAGAGGCCUGACAUUCCUGCCUUCUUGUACUAAUAAGAAAAAUAAAACAAAAUAGUGUUGAAGUAUUGGGGCGGCGAAAAUUUUGGGGAGUGGUAUGGAGAGAGAAUGGGCAAUGUUUCUCAGGGCUGCUUCAAGCGGGAUCAGGGGCGGCGUGGGAACCUAGAGUGGGAGAGAUUAAGCUGAAGGGAGAUCUUGUGGUAAGGGGUGAUAUUGUGGGGUUGUUAGAAGCAACAUUUGUCGUGUAGAAUUAUUGGUGAUGGCCUGGAUAUGGUUUUGUAUGAAUUGAAAAACUAAAUGGAAUAAGAAAAGGAGAAAAACAGGUAUAAAAGGACUAAGAAUUGGGAGGACCUAGGACAUCUGAUUAGAGAGUGCCUAAGGAGGUUCAGCAUAGUCCUGCCAGCAAAGAUUAUUUAUUUACUUCAAGAGUUUAGAGUGGCAGUUUGGGGAUAGCACGAGGAGAUAUCAGCUGUGAUGGCUUGGAGAAACAGUGUAAACCGGCAGUGUAAACAAGAGCAGGGCAUGUAUGAGUAGUUGAGAACGGCAAAUAGGAGUAUGACUAGACAGAAGAUAGUAGGGAUGACAAGUUAUUUGGGGGCACAGUCUAAGUUGGUCGGGUGUCUGGAAUGAGAAUGGGACCUAAUAAAAAGAAGCGUCUAUACAGGAGCUUAAAUGGGCUGUACCUUGUAGCAUUCUGAGGACAGGUCUGACUUCUGAGGAGGGAAAGUGGUAAAAGUAUUGUCCAGUCCUUUUUAAGUUGGUGGCUGAGCUUGUUGAGGUGUGUUUUUAAUAGACCAUUAGUCUGUCACUGAAUACUAAGAGCCUGAAAAACUGCUUGGCUGAUUUGACUAAUAAAGGCUGGUCUGUUAUCAGACUGUAUAGAGGUGGGAAGGCUAAACUGAGGAAUUAUGUCUGACAGAAGGGAAGAAAUGACUGCAGUGGCCUUCUCAGACCCUGUAGGAAAGGCCUCUACCUAUCUAGUGAAAGUGUCUACUUAGACUAAGAGGUAUUUUAGUUUUUGUGACUCGGGGCAUGUUGAGUAAAGCUAAUUUGCCAGUCCUGGGCGGGGGCAAAUCCUCAAGCUUGAUGUGUAGGGAAGGGAGGGGGCCUGAAUAAUCCUUGAGGAGUAGUAGAAUAGCAGAUGGAACACUGAGAAGUUAUUUCCUUGAGGAUAGAUUUCCACAAUUGAAAGGAAAUGGGAGGUUCUAAGAGGCGGGCUAGUGGCUUGUACUAUAGCAUAGCCUGCCUUUGCUGAUGUGUGGCGAUUAGGCCUGGUGGAACUGCCAUCAAUAAAUCAAGCGUGAUCAGGGUGAGGAACAGGGAAGAAGGAAAUGUGGGGAAAUGGGAUGAACAUCAGGUGGAUCAGAGAGAGGCAGUCAUGAGGGUCAGGUGUGGUAUCUGGAAUAAUGUGGGAGGCUGGAUUGAAGUCCGGGCCAGGAACAAUGGUAAUUGUGGGACUUAACAAAGAGUGAGUACAGCUGAAGGAGCCAGGGAGCAGAAAGUAUAUGCAUCAGGUAUGAGGAAGAAAAUAGAUUCUGGAAGUUAUGAGAAAUGUAGAGAGUGAGUUGAGCAUAGUUUGUGAUUUUGAGGGCCUCUAAAAGUAUUAAAGCAGUGGCAGCCACUGCACGCGGACAUGAGGGCUAGGCUAAAACGGUAAGGUCAAGUUGUUUGGACAGAAAGGCUACAGGGUGCGGUCCUGGCUCUUGUGUAAGAAUUCUGACCGCACGAACCAUGCCUAGGAAGGAAAGGAGUUGUUUUGUAAGGGACUGAGGUUUCAGAGAUUAAUCGGACACGAUCAGCAGGGAGAGCAGAGCACGUGUGUUUUUACGAGAAUUAUGCUGAGAUAGGUAACAGAUGAGGAUGAAAUUUGGGCUUGACUGAAGUAAUGGGGUCUGUCUGUGAAGCCUUGCGGAAGUACAGCCCAGGGCUUCCGAGGCAACCGAGCAGCAGUCUUCAGCCGCUAAGCCGAGAAGAUCUGGGAAGGAGUCAGUCAGAGAGCCUUGGGCCGGAGUUCCAGGGGCUCUGGGAGUGGCUGCCAGGUGAGUUGAACAGUCUGAUUUUCAGUGGGGUCCCACACAGAUGGGACGUGGCUUAGGAAGAAUCCCGGGCUGCAGGCAUUCCUUGGCCCAGUGGCCAGAUUUCCGGCAUGUGUAGCAAGCCCCUGGGGGAGGAGGUUCUGGAGGAACGCCUGGCUGCUGCAGUUCAGGCGUUUGGAAGUUCUUGUGUGCUGGAGAUGUGGCUGGGGUUUGUCUCACAGUGGAGGCAAGGAAUUGCAACUUUUUUCUGUUAUUGUACACCUUGAAGAUGGGGUUAAUUAAAUCCCGUUGUGGGGUUUGAGGGCCAGAAUUUAAUUUUUGGAGUUUUAUUUAAUGUUGGGAACAGAUUGGGUAAUAAAAUGUAUUUUGAGACUAAGACGGCCUUUUGACCUUUUAGGAUCUAGGGCUGUAAAGCGUCUCAGGGUUGCCGAAUGAGCCAUGAACUGGGCUGGGUUUUUAUAUUUGAUGAAAAAGAGCCUAAACGCUUCUGAUUUGGGAUAAAGAAAAAGGAGCAUUAACCUUGACUAUGCCUUUGGCUCCAGCCACCUUUUUGAGUAAAUUGCUGGGCAGGUGGGGGAGGGCUAGUCACGGAACAAAACUGUAAGCCAGACCAGGUGUGAGAAGGGGAGGUGAUACAAAGAUUAUAGGGUGGAGGAAUGGAGGCUGAGGAAGAAUUGGGAUCUAGCUUGGCCUGGCAAGGAAGGGAGAGGUCAGAUGGGUCUGUAGAAAAGGAAGAUUAGAAAGACUCAGCGACGCUUGGGGUUGGGACUGAGGGGACAGGCGGGAGGGAAAGAAGGAAAAUUUGGGACAAGUUGCACUGAGCACAGAGACUAGGAAGGGACUGAUAUGUAAAAGAAUGCCUGGACAUCAGGCACCUCAGACCAUUUGCCUAUUUUACAACAAGAAUUAUUUAGAUCUUGUAGGAUGGAAAAAUUGAAAGUGCUGUUUUCCGGCUAUUUGGAACUACUGUCAAGUUUGUAUUUUGGUCAAGUGGCAUUGCAGAAGAAAAUAGGACGCUUAGAUUUUAGGUCAGGUGAGAGUUGAAGAGGUUUUAAGUUCUUAAGAACACAGGCUAAGGGAGAAGGAGGAAUGGAAGGUUGCCCAUAGUGAAGGAGGCAAGCCCAGAGAAAAGAGUAGAGACAUGGAGAAGGGCUGGGGGUUUCUUGCCCUCCAGAAAAGCAGAGAAAGGGUUGGGGCAUGGAAAUAAGGUAUUGGGGGUUCUUGCACCCUAGAAAAGUGGGACUUGCCACUAACGGUGAAGGAGAAGGGGUUGAGGGGUUCUUGCCCCUGCCCCAGAAGAGCAGAGAAGGGGUAGAGACACAGAGAGAAGGGGUUGGGGUACUUGCCCCUCCCCCAGAGAAGAGGGACUUGCCACUAAGGCUGAAGGAGAAGGGGUUGAGGGGUACUUGCCCCUGCCCCAGAAAAUCAGAGAAGGGGUAGAGACAUGGAGAGAAGGGGUUGGGGUACUUACCCCUCCCCCAGAAAAGCAGGACUUGCCGCCAAGGGUGAAGGACCAAGGCAGGCAUCCCUGUGUGGUCUGACACCUUUGAAACGUGGGUGAAUAAUCAGAGAGGCAUCCCUGCAAUGAUUAAACACCAAGGGAAGGCUGCCUUCCCAGUCCGUGACCGGCGCCGGAGUUUUGGGUCCAUGGAUAAAAUGUGUCUCCUUUGUCUCUACCAGAAAAUGAAAGGAAUUGAAAUCAAGAGAAGGGAGAGAUUGAAGUGUGGCGCCAAGAUUGAAAGGAGAAAGAGGUUGAGGGAUAGUGAGGGAGGUUGGAGAAGAGAGUAAAAAGAGGCCACUUACCGGAUUUGAAAUUGGUGAGAUGUUUCUUGGGCUGGUCAGUCUGAGGACCUGAGGUCAUAGGUGGAUCUUUCUCACGGAGCAAAGAGCAGGAGGAUGGGGGAUUGAUCUCCAAAGGGAGGUCCCCCGAUCCAAGUCAUGGCAACAAAUUUCAUGCACGUCAGUGUGAAGAGACCACGAAACAGGCUUUGUGUGAGCAAUAAAGCUGUUUAUUUCACCUGGGUGCAGGUGGGCUGAGUCUGAAAAGAGAGUCAGUGAA